rnacentral:tRNA from 1 species
GCACUCUUAGCUCAGUUGGUAGAGCAACUGACUCUUAAUCAGUGGGUCCAGGGUUCGAAUCCCUGAGGGUGCACCA